UGGGGAAUAUUGCACAAUGGGCGCAAGCCUGAUGCAGCAACGCCGUGUGAGGGACGACGGCCUUCGGGUUGUAAACCUCUUUUGGCAGGGAAGAAGCGAAAGUGACGGUACCUGCAGAAAAAGCACCGGCUAACUACGUGCCAGCAGCCGCGGUGAUACGUAGGGUGCAAGCGUUGUCCGGAAUUAUUGGGCGUAAAGAGCUCGUAGGCGGUUUGUCGCGUCUGCUGUGAAAACCCGAGGCUCAACCUCGGGCCUGCAGUGGGUACGGGCAAACUAGAGUGCGGUAGGGGACAUUGGAAUUCCUGGUGUAGCGGUGGAAUGCGCAGAUAUCAGGAGGAACACCGAUGGCGAAGGCAGAUCUCUGGGCCGUAACUGACGCUGAGGAGCGAAAGCAUGGGGAGCGAACA
rnacentral:rRNA from 1 species